rnacentral:rRNA from 1 species
GAUGAACGCUGGCGGCGUGCCUAAUACAUGCAAGUCGAGCGAACAGAUAAGGAGCUUGCUCCUUUGACGUUAGCGGUGGACGGGUGAGUAACACGUGGGUAACCUACCUAUAAGACUGGGAUAACUUCGGGAAACCGGAGCUAAUACCGGAUAACAUUUGGAACCGCAUGGUUCUAAAGUGAAAGAUGGUUUUGCUAUCACUUAUAGAUGGACCCGCGCCGUAUUAGCUAGUUGGUAAGGUAACGGCUUACCAAGGCGACGAUACGUAGCCGACCUGAGAGGGUGAUCGGCCACACUGGAACUGAGACACGGUCCAGACUCCUACGGGAGGCAGCAGUAGGGAAUCUUCCGCAAUGGGCGAAAGCCUGACGGAGCAACGCCGCGUGAGUGAUGAAGGGUUUCGGCUCGUAAAACUCUGUUAUUAGGGAAGAACAAAUGUGUAAGUAACUGUGCACGUCCUGACGGUACCUAAUCAGAAAGCCACGGCUAACUACGUG